rnacentral:misc_RNA from 1 species
GAUGAAGAACGGAGCGAAAUGCGAUACGUAAUGUGAAUUGCAGAAUUCAGUGAAUCAUCGAAUCUUUGAACGCAUAUUGCGCUCUCUGGUAUUCCGGAGAGCAUGCUUGUUUGAGUAUCAGUAAACACCUCAACUCCCCUUUUUUUUUUUGAAAUGGGAGCUGGACUUGAGUGAUCCCAACGCUUUUCUCACCGAAAAGUGGCGGGUUACUUGAAAUGCAGGUGCAGCUGGACUUUUCUCUGAGCUAAAAGCAUAUCUAUUUAGUCUGCCUAAAAAACAGAUUAUUACCUUUGCUGCAGCUAACAUAAAUGAGAUUAGUUCUUGUGCUGACUGAUGCAGGAUUCACAGAGACAGCUUCGGCUGGCCUUUGUAAACUCGAUCUCAAAUCAAGUAAGACUACCCGCUGAACUUAAGCAUAUCAAUAAGCGGAGGA